rnacentral:rRNA from 1 species
CACGUAGGGGGCAAGCGUUGUCCGGAUUCAUUGGGCGUAAAGAGCUCGUAGGCGGCUCAGCAAGUCAGGCGUGAAAGCCCCGGGCUCAACCUGGGAACGGCGCUUGAGACUGGCACGCUCGAGUUCGGGAGAGGAUGGUGGAAUUCCCAGUGUAGAGGUGAAAUUCGUAGAUAUUGGGAAGAACACCGAUGGCGAAGGCAGCCAUCUGGACCGACACUGACGCUGAGGCGCGAAAGCGUGGGGAGCAAACAGG